UAAAAAUAAUUUAUUAUGAUUAAUUUUCUAAUUAUAAAUUUAGUCAACGAACCGACGAAUCCUUUGUUUUACGUUAUAAAAAAAUUUCUUUGAAAUGGGAAAAAAUACUCAUAAAUGACGUCACGAGCUUUCAACCGGCGCGCUUUAUAUGUAAAAUUUUAAUAGUUUUCUUUACAUUUAAGAAUCGAAUGUCCUUUUUAACGUCUCGUUAUUUUGUUUUAAGUCGAAAGAGUUUAGAAGUUGUUCAAAAUUAGUUUAGAUGGAAGAAGAUGCGUUUUUUGCGGGUUGUAAUCAGAUUCCUGGUGGUUGGAAUUCCGUAGCGAUAGGAAGGCGCUUCAUAAACAAAAUGGGAGAGGAAAGAGAGUUUAAUGGCGAGGAAUUACGAGAAAAAAUCGUAAAACGAGCUCUGAGGGUGAAAGGAGUGGUUUUGAAAUGUAUCAGCUGCUUUGCUAUACUGCACUUGUAAUCAGACUCUGAACCCAUUAUGGGGCAAUGAUUUGAAGACAUCUGGUAUUUUUUGGUGGCCUGAGUGACCCGUCUCCGUAUGAAUUAUUUCUUUCAUUUAAAAAAAAAAUCUAUUCUUAACUGGAUACAAGAUGAUGAAAAAUAUUUACACAUCUCUAAACCAAAAGGAAGUUUGUAAUCUAAGAUGCCGUACUAAGUUAUGCAUAGCAAUUCUUGUUUUAAUUGAAUCAAAGCAAUAGAUGAUAUACGAUAGCUCCUAUGCAUCAUUAAAAAAUGUUAUUCAGCUAUACUAGCAAAUUAUAUACAUACAUAGCCAUUUUAAAUCUAGCCACGUGCUCAGUCAGUCAGAACUUAAAAUUUUUCUCUGUGACGUGUUACUUGCGGGUGUGUCUCUAGGGCACGGACUCAUUUGAUUGGUUAUCCGAUUUAAAAUUAUGUCGAAUGUUUUUAAUAUAGCAAAAACUUGUAAAUUCGAUGGUAAUCUGCGAGUAAACUUGUUGCUAUGGUUCGAGAAAGAGGAUAACGAUUCUUAAAAAAAAUGUUUCAAAAAGAUUUCUGUUCUACGAAUCGAAACCGUUUAUUCCCACAUUUAUGACACACAGCAGACCUUUGACCCAUGACACUGGCCACCUGCGUAAUUUUUUUGUUUAAUUUCUUUGCCCGUUCUUAAUCGAAUCGAAUUACUACAGGAAGAAAGAAUGCCAUUGCUUUGCGGCAGUAAAAAUGUCAUUUGAAAAGUAUGUAAACUGCCGUAUGUGGUUUAAAUUAAUUUUUUUCUUUUUGUUUUGCAAUUAAUCUGACAAUGUUUAUAUAACAUUUACUAUAGUAGUGAAUAUGAAACCAGAUCGUACUUUUGUCAUCUUAAACCUUAUACUGGUGGCUAAAUCAGAGAAUAAUCCCCAUCAAAAAACAAGAGUAUCACGUAUACUGGAGUAGUUGGCAAAUAUCAAAUAUGGAAAACUUACAUAUAUAUAUAUAAUUGUGGGAUGAGUCACUAGCAAUAACAGUCUGAGUCAGAGAAGAGUUGAGUCAAUUUAUCGACAGAAAGGCUCCAGUUUAUACAUAAAAGAUAAAUAUUAAUUAGGUUUUUAUUAAUGUAUUAUCCAGUUUUGUUGGUCGAAUGAUCGUUUGCGUGUGGUUUAAUCUAAUUUAAAAUGAAAAUUAUCGUUUAUAGGUCAAGAUGUGCAAUGCGAAAAAGAAGGAGAAGAAGUUAAAGUGAAA
rnacentral:lncRNA from 1 species